rnacentral:rRNA from 1 species
GACGAACGCUGGCGGCGUGCUUAACACAUGCAAGUCGAACGGAAAGGCCCUGCUUUUGUGGGGUGCUCGAGUGGCGAACGGGUGAGUAACACGUGAGUAACCUUCCCUUGACUUUGGGAUAACUUCAGGAAACUGGGGCUAAUACCGGAUAGGAGCUCCUGCUGCAUGGUGGGGGUUGGAAAGUUUCGGCGGUUGGGGAUGGACUCGCGGCUUAUCAGCUUGUUGGUGGGGUAGUGGCUUACCAAGGCUUUGACGGGUAGCCGGCCUGAGAGGGUGACCGGCCACAUUGGGACUGAGAUACGGACCAGACUCCUACGGGAGGCAGCAGUGGGGAAUAUUGCACAAUGGGCGGAAGCCUGAUGCAGCAACGCCGCGUGCGGGAUGAAGGCCUUCGGGUUGUAAACCGCUUUCGCCUGUGACGAAGCGUGAGUGACGGUAAUGGGUAAAGAAGCACCGGCUAACUACGUG